rnacentral:rRNA from 1 species
CCUACGGGAGGCAGCAGUGGGGAAUAUUGCGCAAUGGGCGAAAGCCUGACGCAGCGACGCCGCGUGAGGGAUGAAGGUCUUCGGAUCGUAAACCUCUGUCAGCAGGGAAGAACGGUCACUGUGCUAAUCAGCAGUGAAUUGACGGUACCUACAAAGGAAGCACCGGCUAACUCCGUGCCAGCAGCCGCGGUAAUACGGAGGGUGCGAGCGUGAGUCGGAAUUACUGGGCGUAAAGCGCUCGUAGGCGGUACGUCAAGUCAAGUGUGAAAUCCCGGCGCUCAACGGGGGGACUGCCUUUGAAACUGGCGGACUGGAGUGCGUGAGAGGUUGGCGGAAUUCCAGGUGUAGCGGUGAAAUGCGUAGAUAUUAGGAGGAACAUCAGUGGCGAAGGCGAGUAUCUGGCACUUAACUGACGCUGAGGAGCGAAAGCGAGGGUAGCGAACGGGAUUAGAUACCCCAGUAGUC